GGUUGAUCCUGCCAGUAGUCAUAUGCUUGUCUCAAAGAUUAAGCCAUGCAUGUCUAAGUAUAAACAAGUCUAUACUGUGAAACUGCGAAUGGCUCAUUAUAACAGUUAUAGUUUAUUUGAUAGUUAUUACUACUUGGAUAACCGUGGUAAUUCUAGAGCUAAUACAUGCGUCAAACACCCGCAUCGAGGGUGGUAUUUAUUAGAUUCAAAACCAAUGCAGGCUUCGGCCUGGUGCCUUGGUGAGUCAUAAUAACUGUGCGAAUCGAAGUGGCCUUUGUGUCGUCGAUGAUUC
rnacentral:rRNA from 1 species